UACGGAGGGUGCAAGCGUUGUCCGGAUUUAUUGGGUUUAAAGGGUGCGUAGGCGGCCGAUUAAGUCUGGGGUGAAAGCCCGUUGCUCAACAACGGAACUGCCCUGGAAACUGGUCGGCUUGAGUACAGACGAGGGCGGCGGAAUGGAGGGUGUAGCGGUGAAAUGCAUAGAUACCCUCCAGAACCCCGAUUGCGAAGGCAGCUGCCUAGACUGUAACUGACGCUGAGGCACGAAAGCGUGGGGAGCGAACAGG
rnacentral:rRNA from 1 species